AAGCACGGUUUAAAAUCCUCUCACUACAAAUAACCAAAAAAAAAAACCCGGUUAAAAUUAAAGAGGCGAUGAAAUCGAGAGAGAGGCGAUCGUGGGACUUCUUACCGGCGAAGAGAGAAAUAUCUAAGGCUGGCCAUUACACCCCCGUCCGUUCCCUUUCCAUAUUUAGACCACCAGAUCGCCGGAACCGACAUCGACAACGGUUUUUCUGCCAAAAUACGGUUGAGAGAGAGAUACGUUGCAGAAAUACAAGGAGAACCGAGAAAGAGAACAAUAGAGAGAGAGAGAGAGAGAUUCGGUCUGUCUCAAUCUCUCAAUAUUAGAAUUCACAUAAAGCCCUACUUCCUCCCAACGUCUACCGUCCUUCCGGAACUGCUACCGAUUAGCACAUCAAUCUUGGGCAUCCACAUCCAAUUGAGGGCUUCUCUAGCAGGCGAAUGAUGAUGGCCCAAUUCAUCCAAGUGAAACAGUGCUGGCACUUACAGUCCAUGAGGGCUAGAAUAUGGCUUAGCUCACUAAAUGUUUUUUGGGUUAAUGAAUUCUUAGACUUUAUUUUCUGCUAUGGGGAAUUUUGGACUUUUGACAAUGUUAUCAAACCUAACUCUAUAUCCCACAAUUGUCAUUUUUGUUUUUUGAAUUGAUUGGCAUUAUUAAAACAAAGCCAUUAAUAAACAUAUUAACUGUUGUAUUUAUUGCAUAGUUAUGUCAAAUUUAUGGUAUUUUAAAUGUGUAAAAUGUUCCCUGCACGUUGCGCUGGUUAAAUGCUAGUCUAUAUAUAUAUAUAAAACCGAAACCUUUAAAGGUCCCACAAUUUUCCACAUCAUCAUUAUUUUCUUUUUCUUUUUUUAUUUAAGUUUAAUUUUUUUUAAGAGAACAACCCGACUAUUCUUUUUCUCUCCCGACUCCCCUCCUAAUGCAGAAGAACUCCUCUCUCUUUAAAUCUCUAACCUUCCCCAAAAUCCUCAACCUCACGCACGCAGUCUCUUUCAUUUAAAAAAAAAAAAAAUGCUAAUGCUAAUGCAGAAAGAGACCUAAUGCAGAAGCACUCCCUCUCUCACUCUAAAUCUCUAACCUCUAUGGGCUAUGGCAUUCCUGCUACAACGUUUUCAAAGAUAUUGAUUGGACUGGCUCAACAUAUUCAGAUAAUGGUCAGGAUCGAUAGCCCUCAUGGACUGGCUCGAAUCCCCUAAUGCCCACAUCUUCAAGAUCAACGUCCCAGACAAGAGUUGAUUGGCUUGCUGAAAACUUUAAGAUAGAUGAAGGAGCGAGUCGAUAAUGCAAUUAUGUAAGCCUCUAUUGAAAAAUUUAGUGAGAAUAGUUGAUUGGCUUGCUGAAAACUUUAAGAUAGAUGAAGGAGCGAGUCGAUAAUGCAAUUAUUUUGGCAUGGAUAAAGAUCACAACAAGGCGUUAGCAGAAGAGUUGCUUCUUUUCAAGAAUGGCUUCAUUAUGGGCACAGCUGAUUCCUUCGAUAUUUGACGAUUUUUUAGUGAAGUUAUUGAAAAUUUUCAAACCUAAACAGUUCACAAAGCAGUUUUUUUAGGCUAUUAUUAGAUUGACCUCAACCUUGGACUCAUGAUUUGAGCUUUUUCACAAAGAUAAUGCUCGAUGAAGGUGUUACCCGCUAAGUCGAAACAUAAUGAUUUGAUGACCUCUGAAGGUUCAGAAGUGGUGGAGAAAGUAGAGCAGCCUUAAGUUGCACAUUGUUAUGGUGGAUAUUAGACUAUUGUCCUUAUUAGUUUAUGUAGUUCGAUAUUUGGUUCCUUAUGAUUUGAAGAGUGAAGGAGGUUGUGUAUGGCCUUGCAAAAGAUGGGUAUUGAUAUUUUGACAAGACAUGAAGAUGAAAUCAAGAAAGAUUGCACCUCAAUGUUCUUAGAAAGUUGCUACUCUACCCUUCUUUCCUCAGAAAUUUUUUUCAUACUUUAUACACCAAGACAUAGCGUUAGUGGGUUAUUAGGCUCAAAAAGUUACAUAUUAUAAUUAUGUUCUUGUUGUCAAUCAAUGUGCUCAUAAAGUUUAUCAUUUUAGGAUUUUGGAACUGUAGUGGACUUUGUAAUAUGAAGUUCUUUAAAGUAUAUUUGCAUGGUUG